ensembl:lncRNA
CAGCACCAAUGACGGAUGCCCUAACCAACUGGACCAGCACCAAUGACGAAUGCCCUAACCAACUGGACAAGCACCAAUGACGAAUGCCCUAACCAACUGGAUAGGUGUAAUCAAUAGUUGAGCCAGUAAAGGGCGCUUCACUUUUCUUGGGUAGUGGAAUUAACUUUUCUUCCCUCCAGGCCUGAGGUCACACACUUUCUUGUAUACUGAGAUUGAAGAUAUGUCAAAUAGGAGUAGCAAUAUCAUCCUCUAUUAUCCUCAGUCAUUUUCCAUCCAAGUUGUCAGAACCAGGUGACUUGUCAUUGUUGAUAGACAACAAAUAUUUGUUCACCUUUUCCACACACACAUACUGGAAUAAGAAAUUACAAUGAAUGCCUUUCAUAAUUUGACCAGUUAUACUUGGAUGUGUAGGGUCAGCGUUUGUUUCUGGCAUGUCAUGCCUUGGUUUGCUUAUCUUGCCAAUUAAAAAAAUCAUUAAAGUAGUUGUCAAUAUCAGUGAGUUAUGUGAUGAAUGAGCCAUCUAAUUCAAUAAAUAAUGGAGCAGAGUUUGCCUUUUUGCCCCAAAUUUCAUUUCAUGUGUUCCACAGCUUUUUACUUCAUUCUUCAUGUCAUUUAUCUAUGUUUCAUAGUUUAUAAUGUACAGGGAUACUGGAGUGAUGGAGGUAGAUAUGUAUAGGGGGAAGGUGACUAUAUACAGGGUCAGUACCAUAUUAACAAUGUACAGGGAUACUGGAGUGAUGGAGGUAGAUACUGUAUGUAUAGGGGGAAGGUGACUAGGCAUCAGGAUAUAUGAUAAACCAGCUGCAUAAAUUCUGAUUGUACAUGAGUGUGUGUGCGUGUAUAGAGUCAGUAUUAAUGUAUGUGUGUGUGUUGGCAUGUCAAAAUCAAAUCAAAUCAAAGUUUAUUUGUCACGUGCGCCGAAUACAACAGGUGCAGACCUUACAGUGAAAUGCUUACUUACAGGCUCUAACCAAUAGUGGAUAAAGCACUAAAUAAACUUCAGUUAGUGCUAAAUA